UAUCCUUUGCAGACGACUU
rnacentral:rRNA from 1 species